UACGGGGGGGGGCAAGCGUUGUUCGGAAUUACUGGGCGUAAAGGGCUCGUAGGUGGCCAAUUAAGUCAGACGUGAAAUCCCCAAGCUUAACUUGGGAACUGCGUCUGAUACUGAGUGGCUUGAAUUCGGGAGAGGGAUGCAGAAUUCCAGGUGUAGCGGUGAAAUGCGUAGAUAUCUGGAGGAAUACCGGUGGCGAAGGCGGCAUCCUGGACCGAGAUUGACACUGAGGAGCGAAAGCCAGGGGAGCAAACGGG
rnacentral:rRNA from 1 species